UCAGGGGAAUGAGUGAAGCUGCCAGCAUGAUCUAACACUGAAUGACCAGAACACUUGCAACAACAAUGUUUGUGUUCAUCGAGGUUAGUCUUUGCUAGGUCAUGCUGUGACAGCCUCACUUCUUCCCAUU
rnacentral:pre_miRNA from 1 species